ACUUAGAAUGAAUUGUAAAACUAUGUCCUAAAUAUUGAAUUGAAUUUAGGAGCGCUACGUCAGGCCAUAAUCGGUCAAGUACGAGUUUAAUCUGCUGACAUUGGUUGGAGAAGGAUAAGCAGAUUUGAAGACUAAUGUAAGUUGUUUACAUUUAAAUUGGAAUUUAUAGUAAUAAAGGAAUUUAGCUUUUAGCAAUAUGAACAUCAAAUAAACGGUGUUUUCGCUCAACGGAACUUCAAUAUCCUCCCCAACAAACUAAAAGAUUGUUUCAUCAUUAUGCCAACAAGUGCUUCCGAACUGACCCGCUGUCGCGGAUGGUCGCCGGAAAAGGCUGGCGAACCAAUUGAUAAAGCGAGGACUAGAUCGAGCAAAAUCAACGACCUGCGGUCCAAACUGCAGCGGGUGAAGUUGGAUGCACAACAGAUCAUCGCGGACAAGCAGCUGGAGUUUUUGAAACAGCGCGAGGAACUCGAACGGAAUCACGAGAACGCAAUGUUUCAGCUGCAACUGGAAGAGAAGAGGUGCAAGGAGUUCUACCGGAUGCGAAGAGAUGAGCUGAUCAAUGAAAGCACCAAGGAAUGCAGUGGGAAGUCGCAUUUAAGUACGCACAACUACGAGAAUGGUUGGCAAGAGCAGCAACGGAUGCGCCAAAGUUCGAGAAUGGAUUUCGAUCGAAUGGGGAUAGUUGAGCAGGCUGAUCAAGCGAGUUUAUCCAAGACGACGGCUGGGGCAGGCGCCAAACAGGACGGCAGCAGGCCAACAGUUGGUGAACGUGUUUCUCCGGGUAGGGCGUUGGAAAUAAACAAUCGCAAAGAUGCAGUACUCAUAUCUCCGUUGCGAGAAACGAAAUGUCCCAAAUUCGAGACAAUUCGCCAGGGUGAAGCAGCUUUGCCAAGUCAAUCGUGUGUUGGCCCGGUGAAUACGGGUUCGAGUACAACUGCGCGAUCUCCAGAGAUGCUGCUUUCUUCGAAUGGAUCAACAUCAUAUCCAUCAGGGGAACAUCCAACCCACCCGGGUAGUACAUUGCCCAAACCGAGCGGCGGACCAUCGUCGUCGUCGUCGACAGCUGACCAGGAACUUAGCGGUCAGCGAAUAGCGAUGACGAAGACACCUAACAAGAAGACCGUGUUUUCGUCACAAAUUUCACAUGUGAGGAAACGGGACGAGACAGCAUUACGUUGUCUUGAGAUGGAGUCAUACAGCAGUACAACUCCUGACAGCAACUCGUACGAUUCUCCAAACCAGACGUGGCUACAACAACAAUCACCGGGUUUCGAGGACGAGGCGAGUUUCGAUAGGGCGCACUCUCAGGAGAAGGCGCUGAAGACGUCUGAAGAGGAAGUGGCUAUCCAAGCACAGUCGUGCUUACUCUUCUCAGCGGUCUUCACCUACGAUACUCCGAGGACCUGCCACUCGUCGUGUUUACAGUUGGCCAGUCUGAAGGAACGCGAGUCGGUGCAAGAAAGGAGUGUCCAGCAUAUGAAUCGACAACGCCAGAACCGAGAGGACAGUCGCUUGCCCGAAAUCCUAACAGCCACCGAACACCAGAUAAUAGCAUACAAGGCACUGGAGGACGGGAAAGCUGGGAUGAAAGCGGAAGUCACCGGAGGAUUAGAUUAUUUCCGGUUUCGGUGGUCUGGUAUGAAGAAACAAGCCGUGCUGCAAGUCAUCCUACGCUUAUCUUCAACGGUAGUGCGAGAACGUCGUCCAGGACAAAUCACAGCGACGGAGACUCGACACGGAAGGAGAGUGAGCAGUAUGCUGAACCAGUUGGGGCGACAGAGGGUCGACGUCAACAGUGCUUUCUACGAUGGGAUGACGCUGAGCACGUGUAAUACGGAACCAGUUUUAAGAACACAUGGACGAUCACCUUCUGUGUCGUACGACAGCGGACGAAGAUUAGUAGUGGACGUCACUUGGCACCAGACCCUGAACUUGAUACUUUUUUGGGCUACCGGAAUGGAUGCAUUGAGUCGAGAGGUGACGUCGGUAAGGCUUGUGGUGGACCGGCUUCGGCAGUCAACCAAACGGAUCGCUCGAAACAUCUAUCGAACUGCGUUGCGCCGGGUGCUGGUCAAGUCUCAACGCAGAGUACAUCAUUACCACGUCGAUCCAGGAGAACGAACACCGAUUUUCAUACGGGUCGGGGUUCGUCGUCUACUAGUAGCGAGCCUUAUGGGACGGAAGACUAAACUGAAAUUGGGCAUCGAGAGGAACAAUGAGCUGGGAACCCGAGAAGAUGAGCAGCUGAACUUGGCAGGACUUCAAGGUGUGGGCGGAAGGAAGCAGCAACCGGUGGAAAGGCCUACAAAUGUAGUCGUGAGUACAAUCAGUGAUAGAAGGUUCCACCGAUGGUACGGGUCGGGGAAUGUUACGGCGUCUACCACCGGUUCCCUAUGGCCAGGUUGCAGCGCAGCGUUGCCUUGGUCGUUCCUACAAGGCGCCGCCGCGGGUGCCCGAAACGUCACAUUGGACAGGUCGGCAGUAAAUGUCAAAAGGUUUGGGUCGAUUGAUCGGUGAUUGACGAUGUGUGGGUUGCAUGAGAAAAAGUGGUAGGCACGAUGUAGGAGCGAUUGUUUAAAGAUAUUCACUAUAUUAAACAAUCAAUUUGUAAGUAAGAUACUUAGAAUGAAUUGUAAAACUAUGUCCUAAAUAUUGAAUUGAAUUUAGGAGCGCUACGUCAGGCCAUAAUCGGUCAAGUACGAGUUUAAUCUGCUGACAUUGGUUGGAGAAGGAUAAGCAGAUUUGAAGACUAAUCUUUUAGCAAUAUGAACAUCAAAUAAACGGUGUUUUCGCUCAACGGAACUUCAAUAUCCUCCCCAACAAACAGCAUAUCCAGCAUCAACAACAACAGUCCCAGCAACGUCAACACCAACCCCAGCAGCAUCAACAUCAAUCCCAACAACAGCAACAACUUCAUCAAC